rnacentral:tRNA from 1 species
AGGGUUGUGGCUCAGUGGCAGAGCGCUCACCCAGCACAUGUGAGGCACUGGGUUCAAUCCUCAGCAUCACAU